rnacentral:rRNA from 1 species
GACGAACGCUGGCGGCGUGCUUAACACAUGCAAGUCGAACGGAAAGGCCCUGCUUUUGUGGGGUGCUCGAGUGGCGAACGGGUGAGUAACACGUGAGUAACCUGCCCUUGACUUUGGGAUAACUUCAGGAAACUGGGGCUAAUACCGGAUAGGAGCUCCUGCUGCAUGGUGGGGGUUGGAAAGUUUCGGCGGUUGGGGAUGGACUCGCGGCUUAUCAGCUUGUUGGUGGGGUAGUGGCUUACCAAGGCUUUGACGGGUAGCCGGCCUGAGAGGGUGACCGGCCACAUUGGGACUGAGAUACGGCCCAGACUCCUACGGGAGGCAGCAGUGGGGAAUAUUGCACAAUGGGCGGAAGCCUGAUGCAGCAACGCCGCGUGCGGGAUGAAGGCCUUCGGGUUGUAAACCGCUUUCGCCUGUGACGAAGCGAGAGUGACGGUAAUGGGUAAAGAAGCACCGGCUAACUACGUG